ACAUGCAAGUCGAACGGUAACAGGUCCUUCGGGACGCUGACGAGUGGCGCACGGGUGAGUAACGCGUGGAUAUCUGCCUAACAGUGGGGGACAACUACGGGAAACCGUAGCUAAUACCGCAUAAUCUCUACGGAGCAAAGCAGGGGACCUUCGGGCCUUGCGCUGAUAGAUGAGUCCCGCGUCUGAUUAGCUAGUUGGUAAGGUAAUGGCUUACCAAGGCGAUGAUCAGUAACUGGUUUGAGAGGAUGAUCAGUCACACUGGAACUGAGACACGGUCCAGACUCCUACGGGAGGCAGCAGUGGGGAAUAUUGCACAAUGGGCGAAAGCCUGAUGCAGCGACGCCGCGUGCGGGAAGAAGGCCUUCGGGUUGUAAACCGCUUUCAAUUGGGAAGAAGAGAUGAGGGCUAAUACCCCUCUGAUUUGACGGUACCUUUAGAAGAAGCACCGGCUAAUUUCGUGCCAGCAGCCGCGGUAAUACGAAAGGUGCAAGCGUUGUUCGGAUUUACUGGGCGUAAAGAGAUCGUAGGUGGUUUGUUAAGUCGGAUGUGAAAUCCCGGGGCUCAACCCCGGAACUGCAUUCGAUACUGGCAGGCUAGAGUUUGGGAGGGGUAAGCGGAAUUCCGUGUGUAGCAGUGAAAUGCGUAGAUAUACGGAGGAACACCUGAGGCGAAGGCGGCUUACUGGACCAAUACUGACACUGAGGAUCGAAAGCGUGGGUAGCAAACAGGAUUAGAUACCCUGGUAGUCCACGCCCUAAACGAUGUCAACUAGCCGUAGCGGGUAUCGACCCCUGCUGUGGCGAAGCUAACGCGAUAAGUUGACCGCCUGGGGAGUACG
rnacentral:rRNA from 1 species